GCUCAGCUGCAGUGUGCACUGCCCAAAGAAGUGACUGCCCAGCACUCUCAAUGUUUCAUACUUCUCUGCUGCGCCUUGGUUGUGCUGUUUGAAAGGCCGAGGCUAGAGUCUGAGCUGAGGUUGGUGUCUGGCAUCUUUCUGUCCUUGGAGUGCUGCUUUUGGGCCUGCUGACAGUCAGCUGCUGAAGUCGGAUCCAGCAGAGAAAUUUGAAGGCAGAGGAACCCUCGGGAGCUGUGAGAGAUGGGUCUGGUGACAGCUCCUUUUUCUGAUGGCUGAACCUCCCCUUACAUCAGAUGGACCAGCAGUCAGAGAUGAUGACCUGCUUUGGUCGGACAUGAGGUGCAAGGAAGAAUGGGCCAGCCUGCUGUUGAAGUGUACCUAAGGAUAAAUAAGCUGCGGCCACAAAGAGGGCCGAAGCAGCAUGGCCUCUCUGGCCUUCCCACACUCCCUGCAGGAAUGGAUCCAUACAGCUCAGCGCAGCAGCCUGGAUUAGACCCCACGUACCUUUGUGGAGGGAAAGAUUAUCCAGACCUCCCUGCAUUCACUGACAGGGUUUAAGUCACUCUAGCAUGCCAGCAGCCACCCGUCACUUAAUCGCACUCUCAAACUCCUUUUUUUUCCUUUUUUGUUGAAAUUAAGCAGCUUUUCUGGUGCUGCUCCUCAGAAGUGUGUGGACAGAGCAAAGGUUAGUGAUCAGUAAUAAAACUGCAGGAAACUAUAUCUUCUCUAUACUGGGAUUUGGGGGUAAAUUUGAGAUAAAUAGUUGAACCUUCUACUUGAGAUGUGGAGAGAAACUGUGCUUGUUUCUAUGCAUGUUCUCUAACUGUAGAUUAAGACUGAGACCAUUUUUAGGGGAGAAAAGUGUUAGGCAGAGCUGUGAAUAUGCAUGAUGUGUUUGAAUAUUCUGGCAGUUAGAACAUCUGAAUUCAACUUGCUCCCCCUCCUGCUGAGUGCCCAGAGGGCCUCUCACCCCUGUCCUGUGGAACUCUGUGCCCACUCAGCAAGUGCAGGCAUAUCCCACUUCCAUCUGCCUAUGACCUCACAGCCCCUGUUUGUUUAACCCUCUCUCCAAAAAACUAACCUAAUUAUAGCCCUGUAGAACAUGGAUCCAGAAGAUUCCCAGUGGAUUUCUCCACUAUGUGUCUACCUCUCAUAUGGAGGACUGAAACCAGGGGCCAUGUUUUAGUCGGUCCUGUUUUUCAC